AGAUCUGAAAUCAGGUGGGACUACCCGCUGAACUUAAGCAUAUCAAUAAGCGGAGGAAAAGAAACUAACAAGGAUUCCCCUAGUAACGGCGAGUGAAGCGGGAAAAGCUCAAAUUUAAAAUCUGGCAGGUUAUCCUGUCCGAGUUGUAGUUUCAAGAAGCGUUUUCGGUGCGCGUCUGGGUAUAAGUUCUUUGGAACAGGACAUCAUAGAGGGUGAGAAUCCCGUUUAUGACCCGGAACAGCGUACUAUGUGAUACGUUUUCUAAGAGUCAGGUUGUUUGGGAAUGCAGCCUAAAAUGGGUGGUAAAUUUCAUCUAAAGCUAAAUAUUGGCGAGAGACCGAUAGCGAACAAGUACCGUGAGGGAAAGAUGAAAAGAACUUUGAAAAGAGAGUUAAACAGUACGUGAAAUUGUUGAAAGGGAAACGUUUGAAAUCAGUCGUGCGGGCGGGUAAUCAGCUUGGCCUUUGGGUCUUGUGCACUUACUCGUCUCGCAGGCCAGCGUCGGUUUUGUUUGCCGGAUAAAUGCCAAUGGAAUGUAGCUCAACCUUUUACGAGGAGGGGUGUUAUAGCCCUGGUAAAUACGGCGGUCGAGACCGAGGUCUGCAGUUGAUGCCUCUCGGGGCUGGGGACUCCAUCGCUCAUUCGCACCCGCGCCUAGACAGCUUGCUGACUAGGUGUGUGGUCUGUGGGUGACACGGUGGCCUACCACACAUCGACUUGGGUCGCUGGCGUAAUGGUUUUAAAUGACCCGUCUUGAAACACGGACCAAGGAGUCUAACAUAUAUGCGAGUGUUUGGGUGGCAAACUCAUGCGCGUAAUGAAAGUGAAUGUAGGUGAGAUCCUCACGGAGCAUCAUCGACCGAUCUUGAAAUUUUUGGAUGGAUUUGAGUAAGAGCAUAUCUGUUGGGACCCGAAAGAUGGUGAACUAUGCCUGAAUAGGGUGAAGCCAGAG
rnacentral:rRNA from 1 species